GGAAGACGGUGGCGAUCAAAAGGGCAGACAUGCUGAAGUAUGUCAUCAAAAGGUACAGGAGCUUCCUCCCUGAGAUUUUCAAGAAAGCCUCUGACCUCCCCGAGUUAGUCUUUGGGUUCUAUCUGAAGGAACUUGAUCCAGCAGAGCACUCCUAUGUCUUGAUCAGAAAAAUCGAUCCUGCCCUGGUUUGGGGCCUGACAGGCGACCAGGGCACACCAAAGACCCGGCUCCUGAUGAUUACUCUGGACUCGAUCUUCAUGCAGGCCAGCUGUGUCCCCGAGGAGGUGGUCUGGGAGGUGUUGAGGGUGUUGGAGGCACAUUUCGUCUAAAAAGCAUUUCGUCUUUGGGGAGUCCAUGAAGCUCAUCACCAAAGCUAGUGUGCAGCAGGAGUAUCUGGUGCACAAAUAGGUGUCCCACAGCAAUCCCACGCUCUAGGUAUUCUUGUGGGGGCUCUCAAAGGAAACAAGACAGAUGGAAGUCCCGGAGUUUGUGGCCAAAGUGAAUGACACCCACCCCAGUUCCUUUCCGUGGCAGUAAAUGAGGCAUUGAGAGAAGAGGAGGAGAUACCCCGUGCCCGAGAUGGCAGCUGCCGUUGGUGACGUGACAAGUGCCAGUGUUAGUGCCAGUUCCAGUUCCAGGGCCUAUGCCAUGGCUGAAGCAAGCAUCAGCACCAGCACCAAUGCAAGUGCCAGUUGCCAGUGCCAGGGCUAGAGCCAUGGCUGGAGCAAGUAUCAGUACCUGGGACAGUGCCAGUGUGGUUGCAAUCUCAGGCUAGUGUCAGGGACUCCUCCUGCCAGCAGUGAAGGCUGGGGCUGAGUCUUCACUUUGUUUUGCUGUGGGUAGUCAAAAGGGCCCCACAGCAGUGGGUGCUGGGGUCCUGACUUUUCAGGAGUCGAGGGGUAGAGUGGGGUUAGGGAGAACCUGCCGCCCAUGGUAUCUGUGUUCCAGUUCUAUUUGUCUUUCUCAGUGAUUUAGCUUUCAAUUUGCAUACUGCAAAGUUUUGUUUGCCUUAAUUAACUUUUUUUUAUAAUGAUGAUCAUUUUACAGGAAAUAAACUGGUUAAAACUACAUGAUGACAGAAUUAUAUCAGAGUUGAAACAAACGCCAUACCUAAGCAUUUUUUCAAAAUCCUUUGUUCCAUAGACACUUGAUUGAGUACUUAAGUUGAACAUCUAGGUCUAUGAAUGACGUUGGUCAAAUGUUUUAUUGUUCUCUGUUUCGGUUUUAGCAGGAGAGAUUUGCUGUUUCAUAAAAGAAAUUGGGAGAGUAUAUCAUUUUAUGCCUGUAACUUAUUAUAGCAUUGGAAUAAGCUGUUCUUUGGAGGUUUGAGAGACUUUACCAGUACAAUCAUUCCCCCCCUCCCCCAAAUAUAAAAAGAUAAAAUAAAAAGCCGGUCAGUGUCUGUUGCACAAAAUUACAACCGCUCUCUGCUUGUAUUUGCCUAGUUCUCCAGAAUGUAGGGAAAAAUAAAAAUUCAAUGAAUUAGACA
rnacentral:sRNA from 1 species